AGUCUGAAAAGGGCGCUUUAGUAUUAUGUCGUAGACCCGAAACCAUGUGACCUACCCAUGAGCAGGUUGAAGGUGCGGUAAGACGCACUGGAGGACCGAACCAGGGCACGUUGAAAAGUGCUUGGAUGACUUGUGGGUAGCGGAGAAAUUCCAAACGAACUUGGAGAUAGCUGGUUCUCUCCGAAAUAGCUUUAGGGCUAGCGUCGACAUUAGAGAUUCUUGGAGGUAGAGCACUGUUUGGGUGAGGGGUCCAUCCCGGAUUACCAAUCUCAGAUAAACUCCGAAUGCCAAUGAAUUAUGGUCGGCAGUCAGACUGCGAGUGCUAAGAUCCGUAGUCGAAAGGGAAACAGCCCAGACCACCAGCUAAGGUCCCAAAAUAAUUGUUAAGUGGAAAAGGAUGUGGGGUUGCACAGACAACUAGGAUGUUAGCUUAGAAGCAGCUAUUCAUUCAAAGAGUGCGUAAUAGCUCACUAGUCGAGUGACCCUGCGCCGAAAAUGUACCGGGGCUAAAACAAUUUACCGAAGCUGUGGAUACCUUUAUAGGUAUGGUAGGAGAGCGUUCUAUGUGUGAAGAAGGUGUACCGUGAGGAGUGCUGGAACGCAUAGAAGUGAGAAUGCCGGUAUGAGUAGCGAAAGACAGGUGAGAAUCCUGUCCACCGUAAGACUAAGGUUUCCAGGGGAAGGCUCGUCCGCCCUGGGUUAGUCGGGACCUAAGGAGAGACCGAAAGGUGUAUCCGAUGGACAACAGGUUGAGAUUCCUGUACUAGAGUAUGUAGUGAUGGAGGGACGCAGUAGGCUAACUAAAGCAGACGAUUGGAAGUGUCUGUCUAAGCAGUGAGGUGUGAAUUGAGUUAAAUGCUUAGUUCUAUAACAUUGAGCUGUGAUGGGGAGCGAAGUUUAGUAGCGAAGUUAGUGACGUCACACUGCCAAGAAAAGCUUCUAGCGUUUAAACAUACUCUACCCGUACCGCAAACCGACACAGGUAGUCGAGGCGAGUAGCCUCAGGUGAGCGAGAGAACUCUCGUUAAGGAACUCGGCAAAAUGACCCCGUAACUUCGGGAGAAGGGGUGCUGACUUUAAGUCAGCCGCAGUGAAUAGGCCCAAGCAACUGUUUAUCAAAAACACAGCUCUCUGCUAAAUCGUAAGAUGAUGUAUAGGGGGUGACGCCUGCCCGGUGCUGGAAGGUUAAGAGGAGUGCUUAGCGGUAACGCGAAGGUAUGAAUUGAAGCCCCAGUAAACGGCGGCCGUAACUAUAACGGUCCUAAGGUAGCGAAAUUCCUUGUCGGGUAAGUUCCGACCCGCACGAAAGGCGUAAUGAUUUGGGCACUGUCUCAACGAGAGACUCGGUGAAAUUUUAGUACCUGUGAAGAUGCAGGUUACCCGCGACAGGACGGAAAGACCCCAUGGAGCUUUACUGCAGUUUGAUAUUGAGUGUCUGUACCACAUGUACAGGAUAGGUAGGAGUCUAUGAGAUCGGGACGCCAGUUUCGAAGGAGACGUUGUUGGGAUACUACCCUUGUGUUAUGGCCACUCUAACCCAGAUAGGUGAUCCCUAUCGGAGACAGUGUCUGACGGGCAGUUUGACUGGGGCGGUCGCCUCCUAAAAGGUAACGGAGGCGCCCAAAGGUUCCCUCAGAAUGGUUGGAAAUCAUUCGCAGAGUGUAAAGGUAUAAGGGAGCUUGACUGCGAGAGCUACAACUCGAGCAGGGACGAAAGUCGGGCUUAGUGAUCCGGUGGUUCCGUAUGGAAGGGCCAUCGCUCAACGGAUAAAAGCUACCCUGGGGAUAACAGGCUUAUCUCCCCCAAGAGUUCACAUCGACGGGGAGGUUUGGCACCUCGAUGUCGGCUCGUCGCAUCCUGGGGCUGUAGUCGGUCCCAAGGGUUGGGCUGUUCGCCCAUUAAAGCGGCACGCGAGCUGGGUUCAGAACGUCGUGAGACAGUUCGGUCCCUAUCCGUCGCGGGCGUAGGAAAUUUGAGAGGAUCUGCUCCUAGUACGAGAGGACCAGAGUGGACUUACCGCUGGUGUACCAGUUGUCUUGCCAAAGGCAUCGCUGGGUAGCUAUGUAGGGAAGGGAUAAACGCUGAAAGCAUCUAAGUGUGAAACCCACCUCAAGAUGAGAUUUCCCAUGAUUUUAUAUCAGUAAGAGCCCUGAGAGAUGAUCAGGUAGAUAGGUUAGAAGUGGAAGUGUGGCGACACAUGUAGCGGACUAAUACUAAUAGCUCGAGGACUUAUCCAAA
rnacentral:rRNA from 1 species